CGGAUGGAUCAUAGGCAGCGGCGUCUUC
rnacentral:sRNA from 1 species